rnacentral:rRNA from 1 species
AGCAGUCGCCACGGGAAUACGGAGGGGGCUAGCGUUGUUCGGAAUUACUGGGCGUAAAGCGCACGUAGGCGGCUUUGUAAGUUAGAGGUGAAAGCCUGGGGCUCAACUCCAGAAUCGCCUUUAAGACUGCAUCGCUUGAACGUCGGAGAGGUGAGUGGAAUUCCGAGUGUAGAGGUGAAAUUCGUAGAUAUUCGGAAGAACACCAGUGGCGAAGGCGGCUCACUGGACGACUGUUGACGCUGAGGUGCGAAAGCGUGGGGAGCAACCAGGAUUAGAUACCCGGGUAGUCCCUGUCUCUUAUAC